rnacentral:rRNA from 1 species
UACGGAGGAUGCAAGCGUUAUCCGGAAUGAUUGGGCGUAAAGCGUCCGCAGGUGGCUAUGUAAGUCUGCUGUUAAAGAGUGAGGCUCAACCUCAUAAGAGCAGUGGAAACUACAUGGCUAGAGUGCGUUCGGGGCAGAGGGAAUUCCUGGUGUAGCGGUGAAAUGCGUAGAUAUCAGGAAGAACACCGGUGGCGAAAGCGCUCCGCUAGGCCGCAACUGACACUGAGGGACGAAAGCUAGGGGAGCGAAUGGG